AGACUUCUAGCAGCCACACAGUGAGGUCUUGAGCUGAUGUGUUUCAAGGCUAUACAAGUAAUAGAGGCAGCAGUUAUGGCCUCCUAGGGGAAGGUGAUAACCUAAGAACAUAAGUGGGGAGUGGGGGAGGAUGUUAGGACAGCAGCUAAUGGGGCUGGAGGCCAGGACAGGUCUCCAGUCCUAGAGACGCAAAGAACAAAGGCAGAAGAGGAGAGAGCAAGAAGGCCAGCCACAACAGGACCCAGAGCAGGGUGAAGCUGCAGCCCAGCGCUCACCUGGGAACCCAGACUCCAAAAGGGAAGAUGGCCUGCUGGCACUUUGAUUUUAGUCUGACGAGACCCACACCAGACCUCUGACCUACAAACUGUGAGACAAGGAGUCUGAGAAGCCCAGAAGUUGCACAACAGCUAAGUUAACAGCUAUAUCACACCUACAUCGAAGGUUUGGAAAUGCCCAACCUCGGAGAGACUGCCCCUGCUCUGACAAUGGAGAUGGCUUGCUUGCUUCCUAUUGUUAGUGUCUCAGUAACAGAGAAUUGGAGAAGGCCAAAAGUGUUUUUAGCUGUGCUUUUUGUUUUACCUGUAGUCUACAUUUUCAGUAGGAAGAACA
rnacentral:lncRNA from 1 species